rnacentral:lncRNA from 7 species
CUCGGCCGCGGCUGCGGGUGACCCCAAUACCCCCGCACCUGCCGCGCGAGAACCUCGCUGACCGAACCAACACAGCGAUUCUUCUAGAAAAGGAAUUGACUUGGGCAAUCUCUAUAAGACCCGGGGAGUUCAUGCGCCGUGAACUGUGCGACCAGUGGCCAUCCUCCCUGUCCGCCAUAAGAAUCAUGAGGGAGAGAGAGAGCUUCCGUGAACAGUCGGGGUUGCGCCGAGGGAGAAAGGGGAGGGUGCUGGAACCGUGGUGCUCUGGCGCGGGCUACUGGACUUCACCAGCCAAUCCUUGGAGCACAUCGGUGACCAACGUCGUCAACCACCGCGUCCCGAGGAGCUCGCUGAUCUCAUGAAACCAGCUUCGCGCGGCGUUGGAGUCUUGGCUACAUAGUCCGGUAAGAUGCCCAUAUGAUCCCCAUCCCUUCCACCGCGGGUAGCGUAGUGACGGGCAAGCCCACGGGCGGGGACGCUACGGGCCGGUCCGCCGGAGUAUUGUGUGCGUCGCUGCUACCCCGGUCGUGGCAGGUCUCGAGGAAGGAGACGUGCUCGGUCCGUUGGAUCGGCAUUAGACGGC